rnacentral:rRNA from 1 species
CGAGAUCUUCGGAUCUAGUGGCGCACGGGUGCGUAACGCGUGGGAAUCUGCCCUUGGGUUCGGAAUAACGUCGGGAAACUGACGCUAAUACCGGAUGAUGACGUAAGUCCAAAGAUUUAUCGCCCAGGGAUGAGCCCGCGUAGGAUUAGCUAGUUGGUGGGGUAAAGGCCUACCAAGGCGACGAUCCUUAGCUGGUCUGAGAGGAUGAUCAGCCACACUGGGACUGAGACACGGCCCAGACUCCUACGGGAGGCAGCAGUAGGGAAUAUUGGACAAUGGGGGCAACCCUGAUCCAGCAAUGCCGCGUGAGUGAUGAAGGCCUUAGGGUUGUAAAGCUCUUUUACCAGAGAUGAUAAUGACAGUAUCUGGGGA